CAGAGUUGGAAAUCAGUCUGUGUGUGUGCGACAAGGAGGGCUAGCGAACCUGAUAAUUUAGCUUUUUAUUGAACAUACUUCUUUCCGUGUGAAAUAUUAUAGUUGAAUUACAUUUUAGGGUACCUGAGGAAACACAUUUGGACUUUUUUUCACGAAGUUUAGCGAUAGCUUUUUGGAUUCCUUUCUCUGUAUGUUGAACGAGGGGAUUACUCAAAUCGAUGGCGCCAACUAAACUGACUUGGGAUAUAAAGAAGGAUUUUAUUUAACAAAACGACCAUAUAUGUUGUAGCUGGGACCCUUUGGAUGGCAAAUCAGAGGGAGAUUUUCAAAAAGGGUGAUGGUCGGAGGAAUGAGCGUUACACCGAGGCCUGUAGUCUGGAGCGGGAUCAAUUUGGAGGUGGAGGGUCCGUCAUGGUCUGGGGUGGUGUGUCACAACAUCAUCGGACUGAUCUUGUUGUCAUUGCAGGCAAUCUCAACGCUGUGCGUUACAGGGAAGACAUCACCCAGCCUCAUGUGGUACCCUUCCUGCAGUCUCAUCCUGACAUGACCCUCCAGCAUGACAAUGCCACCAGCCAUACUGCUCGUUCCUGCAAGACAGGAAUGUCAGUGUUCUGCCAUGGCCAGCAAAGAGCCCGGAUCUCAAUCCCAUUGAGCACGUCUGGGACCUGUUAGAACGGAGGGUGCGGG
ensembl:lncRNA